CAUUCUUGAAAUGACUCGGUCGCUACUGGCACAGACCGUUUAAAGUGUCACCACGACAUGAACUUAGAAUUCUUAUGACGUUGCUGACGAGCGACAAAGCUCUGUGUUCCUGGAUGGGAGUAAGUUUGUGUGGUGGUUUAAUUUAGUAACAGCAUAGACUGUCUAUAGCAAGAUUGUCGAAGAGAUUCUAAACGUAUUUGUAAGUACGUGGUUCUUGCUAGAUAACCGUAUCGAAUUCGAGGCGGUUAUUUUUUUAUUCUCACACAACCAAAAUAACCACACCAC
rnacentral:snRNA from 1 species